rnacentral:rRNA from 1 species
GUUAGGAAUAUUGGACAAUGGGCGCAAGCCUGAUCCAGUCAUGCCGCGUGAGUGAUGAAGGCCUUCGGGUUGUAAAGCUCUUUAGCCGAUGAUUAUAAUGACUGUAGUCGGAAAAUAAGCCCCGGCUAACUUCGUGCCAGCAGCCGCGGUAAUACGAAGGGGGCGAGCGUUAUUCGGAAUCACUGGGCGUAAAGCGUGCGUAGGCGGCUUUGCAAGUUGGGAGUGAAAGCCCAGGGCUCAACCCUGGAAUUGCUCUCAAAACUGCAAGGCUCGAAUUCGGGAGAGGAUAGCGGAAUUUCCAGUGUAGCAGUGAAAUGCGUAGAUAUUGGAAGGAACACCAGUGGCGUAAGCGGCUAUCUGGACGAGUAUUGACGCUGAGGCACGAAAGCGUGGGGAUCAAACAGGAUUAGAAACCCUGGUAGUCC